GCGGUAGUUCAGUGGCAGAGUGCUUGCCUAGCAUGUGUGAGGCACUGAGUUCGAUCCUUAGCACUGCA
rnacentral:tRNA from 1 species